CAGUAGCCGCGGUAACACGAAGGGUGCAAGCGUUACUCGGAAUUACUGGGCGUAAAGCGUGCGUAGGUGGUGGUUUAAGUCCGUUGUGAAAGCCCUGGGCUCAACCCGGGAAUUGCAGUGGAUACUGGGUCACUAGAGUGUGGUAGAGGAUAGUGGAAUUUCCGGUGUAGCAGUGAAAUGCGUAGAGAUCGGAAGGAACAUCUGUGGCGAAGGCGACUAUCUGGGCCAACACUGACACUGAGGCACGUAAGCGUGGGAGCAAACAGGAUUAGAUACCCCAGUAGUCUCUGUCUCUUAUACA
rnacentral:rRNA from 1 species